CAACGAAGAUAAUGAUGAUGAUGGUGAUGAUGAUGAUGAUGUUGAUCAUCAUCAUCAUCAUCACCAUCACCAUCACCAUCAUCAUCAUCAUCAUCA
rnacentral:pre_miRNA from 1 species